rfam:Asian citrus Psyllid, Diaphorina citri - Florida Strain, whole genome shotgun sequence.
GCCAGCGGUGAAGGCACGUUCAUUGCACCAUUUUCCCCAUGGAACAGUGAAGUGAAGCAACGUUUCGCGUGGUUGGUAUGUGGAUGGGUGACCAUCUGAGCAAUCGCUUACUACUGUCU